CUGGUUCUUGUGUAUAAGCUGGCCGGCCACCUCCAGGGUUGCAGAGCAGGAGAAGCUGCGCCCGUUGUCCUCUGGGGUGGCCUUCAGCAGGAGCUGGGCCCUCGGGCCCAGUGGCUGGGCUGGAACCCCAUUCAGCGUCACCUUGGCUCUAGGGUGGGCCUCACACUUCACUGUCACCUCGGUCCCUUCUGAGACCUCUGGCUUCGUCAGAAUCACGUUGGGCGCCGGAAAGCCUGGAAUAGGCACACAGUGAGCCCCGCCCCGGGUUCAGGUCACACCCCCAAGAAGCCCCACUCCGCCCCUGCCCCUUCUUACUGUAGAUGGUCACUGUCUGCAGUGUCUCCUGGCUCUGGUUCCCCAGUAUUACUGCACACGUCAGCCGCUGGGUGCCCUCGUCCUCUGCGGUCACACUGACUGAGGCCUUGGCCGAGAAGGAGUCGUUGCCAUAGGUGACUGUGGGGUUCAACCUCUGGUCCCCCAGUGCCAGGUGGACCUGGGCCUCCGAGACUGGGAACAGCCCGUCCAGGGAACAGACCACGGUCCCCUGCGUGUCCACCUCUAGGACCCGGGGGCUGACAAGUUGUGGGGGAGUCGCUGGCAGGACUAGGGAGAGAAGAAAGGUCUGGAGCUGGUAGGGGGCCGAGGUGUUCUCAAACAGCUCCAGCCCUUGGGGCCGCAGGUCCAGUUCAGUGCGGCACGAGAAAUUGGCUCCAUGGUGAUCUCUCCUCACCAGCACCGUGGUCGUGACCUCAGCGGGCUCCCCCACAGCUGGCUCCCGUUUCAGCUCCUUCUCCCCACGGAGCAGCACCACGGUGAGGUUGGCCCGGGGUGCCCCACCCUCCACCUGGCAGCGUAGGGUAAGGUUCUUGCCCACUGGCUGCCAAGAGGGGAGGGGUGCCAGUUCCACCCGUUCUGGAGUCCCUUACACGGUGAGGAAGGUUUUAGCUGUUGACUGCCCAUCAGGGCAGUUUGAAUAGCACAUUGGUUGGCUAUCUUCUUGCACAUUGCUCAGUUCAUACACCUUCCGGUUGUUCCCAGGCAGGAGCAACUCCUUUUUAGGCAACGGGGUCUCUAUGCCCAACAACUUGGGCUGGUCACAGGAGGUGCUGCAUGUCACCAGCACGGAGCCUCCCCGGGGCAGGAUGACUUUUGAGGGGGACACAGAUGUCUGGGCAUUGCCAGGUC
rnacentral:lncRNA from 1 species